GAUCCAUUUGUACUGGAGAAUGGUAUGUACCCUGAAAUAACUCACUUCCUGAGGGAAAAAUGCUGUCUCUAGGGUACAGAAACCUGAUUCUGGGCUCUGUUUGGGAAGGAGGAUUCCCAAAUCAUUGCUCUGAUGAGAGCAAAUGAUUUUGCAAGUAUAAAACAAUGUUCAGAGAGGCUGUAGGGACACCUGUGAGCCCAGAGGAACCACCAGGGGAUCCUGUGUGAAGCACCGGGGCUUCAGCUGGGGUCAGAGGAGUGGGUGGGCCUCUCUCUAAUGACUUAUCCUGAUGUUUGUGUUUGAAAGAUCUGUUUUUGGAGAGCAUAUCCAAUGAUGAGGAUUUGUAGGUAGGUAACUACUUUCCAUGUAAGAUUCAAUGGGAGAGAGUUCCCAGGGGCCUUCAGGGUAUCCAUUUGCUUGGGAGGUUGAGGGAGGGGGCAUGAAAUCAAAAAGAAAAAGGAAAUAUGUGUCAAAUUGGAUUUGGUCUUUUCCAAGUUUCUUGCCAUAAUAUAAGAACUGUCUCUCUGGGCUGUGAGGGUGCUGUGUGAUUUAAAGGUGAUCUUUCCCAAAACACCUGGCCUUUUCUCUUCUGCCUCUGCCAAACAUCACAGCCUUUGGGUUGGACUAGUCAGCACUGCUUGGGAUUGUGCAGAAGAGGUUUGGGGUUGCAUCAAGUGUUGCCUGUGGCGAACAGAAUCUGAGGACACAACUCCCUCACAGGCACUUACUUGAACCUGGAGACAAAGUUCUCCUGGUGUGUGCCCAGGGGUGCAGGAGAAAUUGAUGGUCGUCCUCUGAACUUUUAGGACUUUAAAAAGCAUUCAUGUUUCCAUCCUCACUGUUGACUCCUGGCUUAAAAGGAUCUCCCAGGGUGAGUGAAGAGGCGGGAUCAGACCCUGGCAGUCUGAUGGCAACACCUGUGUUCCUCUGCGCUGGGCCUUGGACGACAUUACACACCUUGUCUUCACAACAGGGCAACAUAAAAGAAGGAGCCCCACUAGUCUCCCCUUAACCUGGAAUCCCCCCUUCUCCACAGCUUGCUCAUUGGACAGGAUAGACUGGGCACCCAGACCUCAGGGUAAGGAUACGCUCCAUCACCUAGAGGUGUAGUGCCUGGGAAGGCCAACCUUGGAGGGGUGCUGCCAGCUUUAUAGUGAUGGAGGUGUUGGGAGGGAGUGACCACUAAUUAUUUUUUAAUGUUUGGACGAACGGAGGCAGGAUGGUGCACUUCCGGGUUCUUCUUCACCACCAACUCUUCCCGUGUGUGCGAGAAUGCAGCUGAUGCCCGGG
rnacentral:lncRNA from 1 species